rnacentral:rRNA from 1 species
ACGCUUCUUUCCUCCCGAGUGCUUGCACUCAAUUGGAAAGAGGAGUGGCGGACGGGUGAGUAACACGUGGGUAACCUACCCAUCAGAGGGGGAUAACACUAUGGAAACAGGUGCUAAUACCGCAUAACAGUUUAUGCCGCAUGGCAUAAGAGUGAAAGGUGCUUUCGGGUGUCGCUGAUGGAUGGACCCGCGGUGCAUUAGCUAGUUGGUGAGGUAACGGCUCACCAAGGCCACGAUGCAUAGCCGACCUGAGAGGGUGAUCGGCCACACUGGGACUGAGACACGGCCCAAACUCCUACGGGAGGCAGCAGUAGGGAAUCUUCGGCAAUGGACGAAAGUCUGACCGAGCAACGCCGCGUGAGUGAAGAAGGUUUUCGGAUCGUAAAACUCUGUUGUUAGAGAAGAACAAGGAUGAGAGUAACUGUUCAUCCCUUGACGGUAUCUAACCAGAAAGCCACGGCUAACUACGUGCCAGCAGCCGCGGUAAUACGUAGGUGGCAAGCGUUGUCCGGAUUUAUUGGGCGUAAAGCGAGCGCAGGCGGUUUCUUAAGUCUGAUGUGAAAGCCCCCGGCUCAACCGGGGAGGGUCAUUGGAAACUGGGAGACUUGAGUGCAGAAGAGGAGAGUGGAAUUCCAUGUGUAGCGGUGAAAUGCGUAGAUAUAUGGAGGAACACCAGUGGCGAAGGCGGCUCUCUGGUCUGUAACUGACGCUGAGGC